AUUUUGGUGGCCGAGUUAGGUGAUAGAUUGUAAAUCUUUUUACGGGGCUAUCCCCCCAAGAGU
rnacentral:tRNA from 1 species